rnacentral:rRNA from 1 species
AUGAGUUCUCAUAUUUGUAACAGGCGGCCAGUGUAUACCACUGCACCUGAAGCCUUGCUAAGUUUUGGACAGUUCCCGCCAAUACACCCUUAUAAUUUCCGACCUCCGCCAACACACCAACAUGAACAAGGGCACCAAAAUAUGGAGAAUUUGCAAUUUGUUGGUGCUCCCCCACAUGAUUCCUUUUCAACACCACCGCCGCCACCACACCCUAAAGUUGCAGCUCGGUCUGCUCCCGCCAAAGUUAAUCCAACAUCUUCCAAAAGGAAAAGGAAAGUCAUCAAUGUAGAUGACGAUAAAUCGGGAGAAAGGACUGCCCAACGUCUGCCGUAUACACCAGAGGAAGAAGUUAGACUGGCAAGUGCUUGGCUGGAGUGUUCACUUGAUUCCAUCGAUGGAAACGGAAAGAAGGGUGAGCAGUUUUGGGAUGACAUUGCUGCUCUAUACAACAGUACGACACCAAAUAACCGGAAAAGAGACCGGAAUCAGUUGAAGAUGGAGUGGCAAAGGACCAAGAAAAGGCUCGCUGCUUUCCAUGGCGAGUGGUGUGCCGUAACUGGAGUGUAUAAUAGUGGUCGCAACACUGAUGACCUGGAAAAAAUGGCCUUGGAGAAGUAUGAACUGAAGUAUGGCCAUCCUUUCCAACAUUUAACCAUGUGGGAAAAACUGAGGGAUGACGGGAAAUGGCUAGCCUCUUACAGAAACAUGAUAGCAAAAAAAGGGAAGACAACAUCUCCGGAGGCCAAUCUCACAUGAAAUGAGAUCAACUUGGAGUCCGAGGAGCGCCCGGAAGCUGGUCGUGAUAAGGCUAAGGUUGAACGUGCUGGUAAAGGCAAGUCAGGAGGGCUCUCACAAGAGCUUGGAGAAAGAUUAUGA